UCCAGGCAAAUCCGGAUAAUCAAGGCUGAGGUGUGAUGACGAGGCACUACGGUGCUGAAGUAACAAAUGCCCUGCUUCCAGGAAAAGCCUCUAAGCAUCAGGUAACAUCAAAUCGUACCCCAAACCGACACAGGUGGUCAGGUAGAGAAUACCAAGGCGCUUGAGAGAACUCGGGUGAAGGAACUAGGCAAAAUGGUGCCGUAACUUCGGGAGAAGGCACGCUGGUGUGUAGGUGAAGCCCCUGCGGGUGGAGCUGAGACCAGUCGAAGAUACCAGCUGGCUGCAACUGUUUAUUAAAAACACAGCACUGUGCAAACACGAAAGUGGACGUAUACGGUGUGACGCCUGCCCGGUGCCGGAAGGUUAAUUGAUGGGGUUAUCCGUAAGGAGAAGCUCUUGAUCGAAGCCCCGGUAAACGGCGGCCGUAACUAUAACGGUCCUAAGGUAGCGAAAUUCCUUGUCGGGUAAGUUCCGACCUGCACGAAUGGCGUAAUGAUGGCCAGGCUGUCUCCACCCGAGACUCAGUGAAAUUGAACUCGCUGUGAAGAUGCAGUGUACCCGCGGCAAGACGGAAAGACCCCGUGAACCUUUACUAUAGCUUGACACUGAACAUUGAGCCUUGAUGUGUAGGAUAGGUGGGAGGCUUUGAAGCGUGGACGCCAGUCUGCGUGGAGCCAACCUUGAAAUACCACCCUUUAAUGUUUGAUGUUCUAACGUUGGCCCCUGACCGGGGUUGCGGACAGUGUCUGGUGGGUAGUUUGACUGGGGCGGUCUCCUCCCAAAGCGUAACGGAGGAGCACGAAGGUUAGCUAAUCCUGGUCGGACAUCAGGAGGUUAGUGCAAUGGCAUAAGCUAGCUUGACUGCGAGCGUGACGGCGCGAGCAGGUGCGAAAGCAGGUCAUAGUGAUCCGGUGGUUCUGAAUGGAAGGGCCAUCGCUCAACGGAUAAAAGGUACUCCGGGGAUAACAGGCUGAUACCGCCCAAGAGUUCAUAUCGACGGCGGUGUUUGGCACCUCGAUGUCGGCUCAUCACAUCCUGGGGCUGAAGUAGGUCCCAAGGGUAUGGCUGUUCGCCAUUUAAAGUGGUACGCGAGCUGGGUUUAGAACGUCGUGAGACAGUUCGGUCCCUAUCUGCCGUGGGCGCUGGAGAAUUGAGGGGGGCUGCUCCUAGUACGAGAGGACCGGAGUGGACGCAUCACUGGUGUUCGGGUUGUCAUGCCAAUGGCACUGCCCGGUAGCUAAAUGCGGAAGAGAUAAGUGCUGAAAGCAUCUAAGCACGAAACUUGCCCCGAGAUGAGUUCUCCCUGAGACUUUAAGUCUCCUGAAGGAACGUUGAAGACGACGACGUUGAUAGGCCGGGUGUGUAAGCGCAGCGAUGCGUUGAGCUAACCGGUACUAAUGAACCGUGAGGCUUAACCUU
rnacentral:rRNA from 1 species